rnacentral:rRNA from 1 species
AGCGAACGUUAGCGGCGGGCCUAACACAUGCAAGUCGAACGCGAAAGGUCUUCGGACUGAGUAGAGUGGCGCACGGGUGAGUAACACGUAGGUAAUCUACCCUUUGGCGGGGGAUAACGUUCCGAAAGGAGCGCUAAUACCGCAUAAGACCACGGAGUCUCCGGACGCUGUGGGAAAAGGUGGCCUCUUCUUGAAAGCUACCACCGAAGGAUGAGCCUGCGUCCCAUCAGCUAGUUGGUAAGGUAAUGGCUUACCAAGGCGAAGACGGGUAGCUGGUUUGAGAGAAUGAUCAGCCACACUGGCACUGGAACACGGGCCAGACUCCUACGGGAGGCAGCAGUGAGGAAUAUUGGGCAAUGGGCGAAAGCCUGACCCCAGCCACGCCGCGUGAGUGAUGAAGGCCCUCGGGUCGUAAAGCUCUGUGGAGAGGGACGAAAACCCUGGUUUCAAAUAGGCUCCAGGCUUGACGGUACCUCUUUAGCAAGCACCGGCUAACUCUGUGCCAGCAGCCG